rnacentral:misc_RNA from 1 species
CUUGAACUGAACCACAUUAAUCAACGCCAGCAUCAAGAACACGCUCCCAACAACCGACCCAACACCUGAAGCUAGCAUCCCAGCCCGAAACGAAUUCUUGUUCACGCGCACGAAGAACUCCGCUAAGUGAUUGGAAUGAGCGCGAGAACCGGAGGUUUUGGAAGUCCGAAGAGCUUGCUUCAGCGCGAGAGCGAUCAAGCUGGAGAAGAGGAAGGAGCUGAAGGAGAAAACAUGAAAGGAGACAAUGUUCUCAACAAUGGAAGGGCCGGCGGCGCAAGGGGAGGUGGGAUCGUUGACAAGGGAGCUGUUAGGAUCCGUUGGGUUCCAGGCUAGACCGACGAAGACGGCGAAAGUGAAGAGGGAGUUCACAUUGAUGAUACCGUCGAGGGCGGAGAUGUGGAUGGUGGUGGUCAUCGUGAUUGGAGAUGAUCUUUAAUUUGAUUGAUGAACUGAAAAAAUUUGAUCGGGCUGUGGAGUGAAGAGUUUGUUCUUUCUCCUCUGCUUCGUAGGAAAAUGCGUGGGAAAAUGGCUUAAAGCGAAACGAACAGAACAG